GACGAACCGUCCAAACGUUGUUCGGAAUCACUGGGCUUAAAGGGCGCGUAGGCGGGCGAGCAAGUUCGGGGUGAAAUCUUUCGGCUCAACCGGAAAAGGGCCUCGGAGACUGCUCGUCUGGAGGGAGGUAGGGGCAGGUGGAACUGCUGGUGGAGCGGUGAAAUGCGUUGAUAUCAUCAGGAACACCGGAGGCGAAGGCGGCUCACUGGGGGUCUUCUGACGCUGAGGAACGAAAGCCAGGGGAGCGAACGGG
rnacentral:rRNA from 1 species